CGUGAACGGGGGGAACGUUACUCAUCAUUAAAAGCUUCCAGUAAUGCUAACCGUCCUACAGGACGUGUCAAUGUUCCAGUUUUCGUUGCAAUCUCCGCGGAUCUGAUCAGUCCGUCUUCACUUGGGAUCGGUGCAAUCACUCUUCCGAGCCUCCAAUGCGAACGAGGUACGUCCUUCUCAACGAUCAAGACAAGAUCACCGCGACGUAGAUUUCUGUGUGCAACAUUCCAUUUGCUUCGCUUUAUUAACUGCGGAAUG